CUCCACCGCUUGUGUGAGCCCCCGUCAAUUCCUUUGAGUUUCAGCCUUGCGACCAUACUCCCCAGGCGGGGUGCUUAACACUUUUGCUUCGGCAGUGAACCCAUGUUAAGUCCACUACCUAGUACCCAUCGUUUAGGGCUAGGACUACCGGGGUAUCUAAUCCCGUUCGCUCCCCUAGCUUUCGCGCCUCAGCGUCAGAAGAGGUCCAGCACGUCGCUUUCGCCACCGGCGUUCCUUCCGAUAUCAACGCAUUUCACCGCUCCACCGGAAGUUCCACAUGCCCCUACCUCGCUCAAGACGGUCAGUAUCAGAGGCUGUUUUCCGGUUGAGCCGAAAGAUUUCACCCCUGACUUGACCACCCGCCUACGCGCCCUUUAAGCCCAGUGAUUCCGAACAACGUUUGCACGGUUCGUCUUACCGCGGCUGCUGGCACGAACUUAGCCCGUGCUUCCUCCAG
rnacentral:rRNA from 1 species